GCCUGAAUAGCUCAGUCGGUAGAGCAUUUCAUUCGUAACGAAAAGGUCAAGGGUUCGAGUCCCUUUUCAGGCUCCA
rnacentral:tRNA from 3 species